UGGGGAAUCUUCCGCAAUGGGCGCAAGCCUGACGGAGCAACGCCGCGUGAGUGAAGAAGGUCUUCGGAUCGUAAAGCUCUGUUGAUGGGGACGAACGUGCCUAAUGCGAAUAGUAUUAGGUAAUGACGGUACCCAUCGAGGAAGCCACGGCUAACUACGUGCCAGCAGCCGCGGUAAUACGUAGGUGGCGAGCGUUGUCCGGAAUCAUUGGGCGUAAAGGGAGCGCAGGCGGGCAUGUAAGUCUUUCUUAAAAGUGCGGGGCUCAACCCCGUGAUGGGAAAGAAGCUAUGUGUAUUGAGUACAGGAGAGGAAAGCGGCAUUACCAGUGUAGCGGUGAAAUGCGUAGAUAUUGGGAGGAACACCAGUGGCGAAGGCGGCUUUCUGGACUGCAACUGACGCUGAGGCUCGAAAGCCAGGGGAGCGAACGGG
rnacentral:rRNA from 1 species